rnacentral:rRNA from 1 species
UACGGGGGGGGCAAGCGUUGUUCGGAAUUACUGGGCGUAAAGGGCUCGUAGGCGGCCAACUAAGUCAUACGUGAAAUCCCUCGGCUUAACCGGGGAACUGCGUCUGAUACUGGAUGGCUUGAGAUUGGGAGAGGGAUGCGGAAUUCCAGGUGUAGCGGUGAAAUGCGUAGAUAUCUGGAGGAACACCGGUGGCGAAGGCGCUCUGCUGGACCAUAACUGACACUCAGGGACGAAAGCUAGGGGAGCGAAUGGG